UGAGGAAUUUUGUGCAAUGGGCGAAAGCCUGACGCAGCGACGCCGCGUGGAGGAUGAAGUCCUUCGGGAUGUAAACUCCUGUCAGUGGGAACGAAAAAAAUGACGGUACCCACAAAGGAAGCACCGGCUAACUCCGUGCCAGCAGCCGCGGUAAUACGGAGGGUGCAAGCGUUGUUCGGAUUUACUGGGCGUAAAGCGUAUGUAGGUGGUCGGUUAAGUUCAGUGUUAAAUCUUAAGGCUCAACCUUAAACCUGCACUGAAUACUGGCUGACUAGAGGGCAAUAGAGGAAGGUGGAAUUCCCAAUGUAGCGGUGAAAUGCGUAGAUAUUGGGAGGAACAUCAGUAGCGAAGGCGACCUUCUGGGUUGUCCCUGACACUGAGGUACGAAAGCGUGGGGAGCAAACGGG
rnacentral:rRNA from 1 species